GGUCAAGGAAGGCCAGCAUGCAGGAUGAGCUCCCUUACAGUCCCUGUCUGCCCCUUCUCCAUGGCUGCUCUGCAGCUCACCACAGGGUUAGCUGCACUCACACAUUUAACUGGUGUGCCUGGGGUUUGCCAGAUGUAAAAAUGGUGAGAGAACUCUUGCAGGUAUGUGUAGAAGGCUGCUUUGGUGGCUCUCCAACUCUUUUAAAUCCAGAGCUAAAAGACAAUUGAGGUAUUACCUAGAUGAGCUCUUUGCACCACUCUGAGGGUGCACUCGAGCCUUCCUUGAGGAUGUCUGUCUAUCUUUCAGUAUUAAUGCCUUGUUACUCCUGUGUUGCCUCUACAGACACCGAAAAGGCAGUGGAAAUCCUUACAAGAUACCAAAGCACCCUGCUGUCCCCAGAGGAACAGGAGUUAAAAGCCUCCAUCGGAAAGAUCUCGCACAUCUUCCAAAGUGAACUAUUCCAGGCUCUGCUGGAUAUCCACGAAUUCUACGACUUCACGCUGCGCUCUGCACCCCUGCAGCCUCCCGGCCCGGACGCGCGUUGCGGCACAGCCCGGCAGCAGCAUGGGGCCGGCAAGCCCGGCUCCUCAGACACCCCCAGAGAGCCCCAAAAUCUCCCCGAGGAGCCGGCCGAGGACGGUGAGCGGAGGCUGCCCGUGGCCACCUGCAGGACGCCGGGGACCCCUCCGCGGCUGGUGAGGGUGACGGCCCGCAGGACGGAGGCACCAACCAGCGUCUGCAGCCUGGUGCUGGGCUCCCGCAGCGCCCUGCCCCAGCUCUGGCACUCUCCCACCUCGCAGAUUUCCAAAUUUUUCUCCAAGAUCUUAAAUGGCAGGUCCAUUCCUCAGCAUACCAGGAGCUUUUCCCCGCUGUCUAUUUACCUGCAAACGCCGUCUGUUCGGAUGUGCAUCGUAAAUCUCAGCUUCCUCCUGGUGCGAGUACAUCGUCUGGGCUACGCAUCUGAUGCUAGUUUUAGGGACGAGUGAAGGGCAAAAUGCGCUCUGAGCCUUUUGGGAGGGAUGAAGUGGCCGUGAUGGAUGGAGUUUACCGCAGAUAUAAAAUAAUAUGAAAACGUUGUUUUCCUUGGCAUGGUUUGAAACAAUGCUUGUUUGCUAGGUCGGAUUCUUCUUCCAAAAUAUUUUAAAGAUGAAAAUGACACUGCUUCUUUUCUCACCUUUUUAAAUGUUUCCCUUCUUGUUCUAGACCACAAUAAAAUGGGUAAUGCCCCAUUUUUUCCUUACUGU
ensembl:lncRNA